rnacentral:rRNA from 1 species
AAAUUGAAGAGUUUGAUCAUGGCUCAGAUUGAACGCUGGCGGCAGGCCUAACACAUGCAAGUCGAACGGUAACAGGAAACAGCUUGCUGUUUCGCUGACGAGUGGCGGACGGGUGAGUAAUGUCUGGGAAACUGCCUGAUGGAGGGGGAUAACUACUGGAAACGGUAGCUAAUACCGCAUAACGUCGCAAGACCAAAGAGGGGGACCCUCGGGCCUCUUGCCAUCGGAUGUGCCCAGAUGGGAUUAGCUUGUUGGUGGGGUAACGGCUCACCAAGGCGACGAUCCCUAGCUGGUCUGAGAGGAUGACCAGCCACACUGGAACUGAGACACGGUCCAGACUCCUACGGGAGGCAGCAGUGGGGAAUAUUGCACAAUGGGCGCAAGCCUGAUGCAGCCAUGCCGCGUGUAUGAAGAAGGCCUUCGGGUUGUAAAGUACUUUCAGCGGGGAGGAAGGGAGUAAAGUUAAUACCUUUGCUCAUUGACGUUACCCGCAGAAGAAGCACCGGCUAACUCCGUGCCAGCAGCCGCGGUAAUACGGAGGGUGCAAGCGUUAAUCGGAAUUACUGGGCGUAAAGCGCACGCAGGCGGUUUGUUAAGUCAGAUGUGAAAUCCCCGGGCUCAACCUGGGAACUGCAUCUGAUACUGGCAAGCUUGAGU